rnacentral:rRNA from 1 species
AUGCUCGGAUCUGGUCUCACGGCCCCCUCUACGCACCGAUCCAGUCUCCGCACGAGACCCGGCCCUCUACCCGGCUCGCCGCGGAGGACCUACGCCUCACCGGGGAUGCCACGGGGAGGGCAUUGGAACAGCUCCCAUCCAGGGUCGCCGCUGCCGCCGUGCUGCGUGGGAAGGGCGCGGCUGAGUUCGACGAGGAGGCGCGGACCAAGACAAUCUAUAUCGGGAUUUAUAGCAUAUGCUCUAUGUGUAGCUGAUGAGACUUUGACAGAUGCAAAUUGGUUGGCUUCGGAAAAUGAGAAGAAGGAAAGAAUGAAUAUACUUACUUGCCCUAAGUGCUAUGUUUGGGAGAUAGAACAUGGUUUACGUAUGCCUUUGCCACAAAUAAGUGCUAUGUAUGGGGCUAAUGAUCUGCCAGGGACCAUGCUUAGCGAUCAUAUAGAAGAACAACUCUUUAAACAGCUCAGGGAAGACAGACACGAAUGGGCCAUUCAUGAUGGGAAAAGCUUUGAUGAGGGUAAAGCGAAAAAAAUUGUUUCAGCACAGUCCAUCUGGUUUGACAUUUUGAAGGCACAAAAUUGUUUCUGUCAGAACUGUCAAGUUUCAGUUACUUACAUUCCUCUUUGUUAG